GUGGCAGCAGCCGCGGUAAUACGAAGGGACCUAGCGUAGUUCGGAAUUACUGGGCUUAAAGAGUUCGUAGGUUGUUAAAAAAGUUGGUGGUGAAAUCCCAGAGCUUAACUCUGGAACUGCCAUCAAAACUUUUUAGCUAGAGUAUGAUAGAGGAAAGCAGAAUUUCUAGUGUAGAGGUGAAAUUCGUAGAUAUUAGAAAGAAUACCAAUUGCGAAGGCAGCUUUCUGGAUCAUUACUGACACUGAGGAACGAAAGCAUGGGUAGCGAAGAGGAUUAGAUACCCUCGUAGUCCAUGCCGUAAACGAUGUGUGUUAGACGUUGGAAAUUUAUUUUCAGUGUCGCAGCGAAAGCAUUAAACACACCGCCUGGGGAGUACGACCGCAAGGUUAAAACUCAAAUGAAUUGACGGGGACCCGCACAAGUAGUGGAGCAUGUGGUUUAAUUCGAAGAUACGCGCAGAACCUUACCAACACUUGACAUGUUCGUCGCGACUUUAAGAGAUUAAAGUUUUCGGUUCGGCCGGACGAAACACAGGUGCUGCAUGGCUGUCGUCAGCUCGUGUCGUGAGAUGUUGGGUUAAGUCCCGCAACGAGCGCAACCCUCACUUUUAGUUGCCAUCAUUUAGUUGGGCACUCUGAAAGAACUGCCAGUGAUAAGCUGGAGGAAGGUGGGGAUGACGUCAAGUCCUCAUGGCCCUUACGUGUUGGGCUACACACGUGCUACAAUGGCAUUUACAAUAGGAAGCAAGAUGGCGACGUCAAGCAAAUCCUAAAAAAAUGCCUCAGUUCGGAUUGUACUCUGCAACUCGAGUACAUGAAGCUGGAAUUACUAGUAAUCGCGGAUCAGCGCGCCGCGAUGAAUACGUUCCCGGGUCUUGCACACACCGCCCGUC
rnacentral:rRNA from 1 species